GAGGUUGCUGCACGGUUGGUUCUGUCUGAGCAGCCGCUUUGCGGGAGGAGCUGCCCCGAGCUCGAGCUUGCGUGUCUGACCUGCAGACGCCAAAGCUUGUGUCCCUCCUCUCUUCCCAGCUAGGUCUGUGGUUGGGAAGUGUCCGGAGACGCUUUCUCUGAGCACAGCAGUCGUUUCGAGCAGGAGGGUGCUUGCUUUUGUUUGCGUGGCCGCUUGGGGAAGGAAACCACUGGCUUCAUUUUGGAAAAGCUAACUGAGAGCAAAGCAUCUGAAAGGGAGCAGAGCUCCACUAAGGCCUCUAUGAGGAUGGUGACUCGAUUCCACCCCUGGUUAUCCCUUUGCUACACAGCUCUUCUGGCCUCCUGACUGGGAGGAGCCCACUGAGAAGACUGUGCUCCCAGCUUAUAGGAGAGCCCUGUGAGCCACUGGGCUUUCUGGAAGUUUCGUGCGAUGCUAUGAUCUGCCCUGUGACUCCUUCCCUGGGGAAGAAUGGAGACUGUGUCAUCGUGAGCAUGUCAGACAGCUGGAGUAAGAGGGACCACCUUAACUCUUCAGUGGGAGCCACCCAGAGAGCACUGGAAGGUUUCUUCUGUCAUCUCUAA
rnacentral:lncRNA from 1 species